rnacentral:tRNA from 1 species
GAGGGUAUAGAUCAGUGGUAGAGCACGUGCUUAGCAUGCACAAGGUCCUGGGUUCAAUCCCGGUACCUCCA